CCAGUGCUGCAGGGCAGACGUUGUGAAAUGAUAGCUUAACUCUUAGUUUAAAAUUUGUAAAUGGGUGGUGUAUUUUGUAUCAAUAAAUAAUAAGUUGGUUCCCAGGCAUCUCCACCACGAUACCUGUCUGACACUGCACUUCUGAUCUGAUAUGACUGACUAAGAAAAAUAAAGAUAUCGAAGCUACGAUCCUGCAGAUAAUGGAUCUGAAAGAAGCUUUCCAGCAGUCAGAGGGUGCGCCCAAAAAGCAAAUAAAGUGAUGACACUUUGGCAGCUUCCACGAUUCUGCAGAGACAAGGCAUAGCUGGGAGAAGUCUUCAUGGAGGUGCAGGCAAGAUGGAGAAGAAAAGGAAAAGUGCACACUACUACUACUCUGAUUACAGAAGACAUCAUUUUGGGGUCUGUGUUAUGCAGAGAGGUGUUAUUUUGGCAAUCGUACGACUAAGAUUUCUUGGACAAUCAAAACAUGUCACUUUUCUCUCUGUCCUAUGUCAACUGCUGUUUUAUCUUCCUAAAGAGCUGCUGUGCUGAGCAAUCCCUUCCUUGAACUAUUUUUAUUGCGGUGUGGUCCGCAACGGUCCGGUUCACAUCAAAGCAUACAGGGGUGAGCUGAACUGCCUCUUUCUCUGUACUGUAUUUCAUUUUACUGUAUAUAUGCUUCAUCUGCAAUUGGAAAA